rnacentral:rRNA from 1 species
GGGGAAUUUUGGACAAUGGGCGAAAGCCUGAUCCAGCAAUGCCGCGUGCAGGAUGAAGGCCUUCGGGUUGUAAACUGCUUUUGUACGGAACGAAAAAGCUUCUCCUAAUACGAGAGGCCCAUGACGGUACCGUAAGAAUAAGCACCGGCUAACUACGUGCCAGCAGCCGCGGUAAUACGUAGGGUGCGAGCGUUAAUCGGAAUUACUGGGCGUAAAGCGUGCGCAGGCGGUUAUGUAAGACAGAUGUGAAAUCCCCGGGCUCAACCUGGGAACUGCAUUUGUGACUGCAUGGCUAGAGUACGGUAGAGGGGGAUGGAAUUCCGCGUGUAGCAGUGAAAUGCGUAGAUAUGCGGAGGAACACCGAUGGCGAAGGCAAUCCCCUGGACCUGUACUGACGCUCAUGCACGAAAGCGUGGGGAGCAAAC